GAGACACCCUUAUGGGGCAGGACUUGCUUCAGUGAGACUUUGGCACUCACUGAGUCUGCCCCCUGAGUGUGUCUUU
rfam:Myotis lucifugus cont2.11084, whole genome shotgun sequence.